AUGAAAACUGUUAGAAUUCAACCAUUAUUCUAACAUCAAUGCCUAGUGCUGAAUAAUUGCAAAAAUGGUUACAAAUUGAUUUAGAAUGAAUUUGUGCAGUUAUAAUUGAUGUUGGGGCGGCUCUCAAGAUGCUCAAAACGUGUCCAUCUGAUUUCCUCAAUGUGUGGGCUGAAAGAAAACAAUUCAUUGUGCUUUAAUGUGUGGCAGCACCACUUCAUUCUUUCCUUUCAUGUCAUGUGCUAUUUUUCUCCCUCCCAUUAAUGUUCUUGAUUUCUUUUC
rnacentral:lncRNA from 1 species